rnacentral:lncRNA from 1 species
UCACUUUAGCCUUGUGAAGAGGAAGGAGCAGAAAACGCUGCUCAGCAAGGCUGCAAGGCCAUGAAAUUGCGUUAAGCAACGCUCAUGAAAAUGACUGGAUUUGCUAUUUUAGUUGUGCUACCUGGCUUGACAAGGAUAAGGACACACGAAUCUGAAAUAAGGCUUGGACUGAGAUAUUUAGAAGGUGAGGGGUUUUAAAUCAGUCAACUAAUUUGUGUGACCGUUUUCUCUGGAAGACCAGUGCCACCAAUUACAGUAAGAACAGAUUUAAGCAUCUUAUUUCUGUUGAUUGCUUUUGAAUGUCUCAUCCUGGUUAUACAGUGAUACAAAUAUAUCUUUUAAAAACAAAACAAAAACACCACACAAGUG